UACGGAGGGUGCAAGCGUUAUUCGGAAUUACUGGGCGUAAAGCGCGUGCAGGCGGCAUGGUCAGUCUGAUGUGAAAGCCCCGGGCUUAACCUGGGAAGUGCAUUGGAUACUGCUGUGCUUGAGUACUGGAGAGGAAGGGAGAAUUCCCGGUGUAGAGGUGAAAUUCGUAGAGAUCGGGAGGAACACCAGUGGCGAAGGCGCCCUUCUGGACAUGUACUGACGCUGAGACGCGAAAGCGUGGGGAGCAAAC
rnacentral:rRNA from 1 species